AACCUUACCCAGGGCGACAGCAAGAUGAUGGCCAGGCUAACGACCUUGCCUGAUGAGCUGAGAGGAGGUGCAUGGCCGUCGCCAGCUCGUGCUGUGAAGUGUCCGGUUAAGUCCGGCAACGAGCGAGACCCCCACUUCUAGUUGCCACCCAGUUCCUCGGAAUUGGGGGCACACUAGAGGGACUGCCGGCGUAAGCCGGAGGAAGGAGGGGGCCACGGCAGGUCAGUAUGCCCCGAAACCCUGGGGCCGCACGCGAGCUGCAAUGGCUGGAACAGCGGGAUUCGACCCCGAGAGGGGAAGAUGAUCCCGUAAAUCCAGCCCCAGUAGGGAUCGAGGGUUGCAAUUCACCCUCGUGAACUUGGAAUCCCUAGUAACCGCGUGUCACCAACGCGCGGUGAAUACGUCCCUGCCCCUUGUACACACCGCCCGU
rnacentral:rRNA from 1 species